UACGUAGGGUGCAAGCGUUGUCCGGAAUUAUUGGGCGUAAAGAGCUCGUAGGUCGGUUUGUCGCGUCGAAUGUGAAAACCCGGGGCUCAACCCCGGGCCUGCAUUCGAUAUCGGGCAGAACUAGAGUUCGGUAGGGGAGUCUGGAAUUCCUGGUGUAGCGGUGAAAUGCGCAGAUAUCAGGAGGAACACCGGUGGCGAAGGCGGGUCUCUGGGCCGAUACUGACGCUGAGGAGCGAAAGCGUGGGGAGCGAACAGG
rnacentral:rRNA from 1 species